rnacentral:rRNA from 1 species
GAUGAACGCUGGCGGCGUGCCUAAUACAUGCAAGUCGAGCGAACAGACGAGGAGCUUGCUCCUCUGACGUUAGCGGCGGACGGGUGAGUAACACGUGGAUAACCUACCUAUAAGACUGGGAUAACUUCGGGAAACCGGAGCUAAUACCGGAUAAUAUAUUGAACCGCAUGGUUCAAUAGUGAAAGACGGUUUUGCUGUCACUUAUAGAUGGAUCCGCGCCGCAUUAGCUAGUUGGUAAGGUAACGGCUUACCAAGGCAACGAUGCGUAGCCGACCUGAGAGGGUGAUCGGCCACACUGGAACUGAGACACGGUCCAGACUCCUACGGGAGGCAGCAGUAGGGAAUCUUCCGCAAAGGGCGAAAGCUUGACGGAGCAACGCCGCGUGAGUGAUGAAGGUCUUCGGAUCGUAAAACUCUGUUAUUAGGGAAGAACAAAUGUGUAAGUAACUAUGCACGUCUUGACGGUACCCAAUCAGAAAGCCACGGCUAACUACGUG